CCUACGGGAGGCAGCAGUGAGGAAUAUUGGUCAAUGGGCGUAAGCCUGAACCAGCCAAGUCGCGUGAGGGAUGAAGGUUCUAUGGAUCGUAAACCUCUUUUAUAAGGGAAUAAAGUGUGGGACGUGUCCUGUUUUGUAUGUACCUUAUGAAUAAGGAUCGGCUAACUCCGUGCCAGCAGCCGCGGUAAUACGGAGGAUCCGAGCGUUAUCCGGAUUUAUUGGGUUUAAAGGGUGCGUAGGCGGCCUUUUAAGUCAGCGGUGAAAGUCUGUGGCUCAACCAUAGAAUUGCCGUUGAAAAUGGGAGGCUUGAGUAUGUUUGAGGCAGGCGGAAUGCGUGGUGUAGCGGUGAAAUGCUUAGAUAUCACGCAGAACCCCGAUUGCGAAGGCAGCCUGCCAAGUCAUGACUGACGCUGAUGCACGAAAGCGUGGGGAUCAAACAGGAUUAGAUACCCCAGUAGUC
rnacentral:rRNA from 1 species